rnacentral:tRNA from 1 species
AGCCGGCUAGCUCAGUCAGUAGAGCAUGAGACUCUUAAUUUCAGGGUCGUGGGUUCGUGUCCCACGUUGGGUG